CCUAGAACUUGCGUUACCAGAUGGUACUCGUUGAAGAUGUGGAUAUUGGUAGUGUAAAGUGAAAUGACGCGAUUCGUGAGGUGGCAAACUCCCAGAGACAAGACCACAGCUAAGGACUGGUUCAGCAAUGAAUGGAUUGUGGACGUACCAAGCAGAACCUGGUGCCACAUGGCGUGAAAGGAAUACUUGACUGAUUGGUAGGAGGCAUCCUGGGGCAUCUCGUGCAGAAGGAGCACGCAAGACUCGUCGCGUCAACGUCAUCAUUUACUCCUGACGACUGUUGCCAUUGAGGGGUAGAUGGUAAAUACUGGACCAAAGCAGCUUGGGAUUGGUUGUCUUCGGGCGUUUACUGGAGACUAAAGGGAGUGUGUGUAACGGUACGGUCCGGCCGGAACAGAGAUGGUGUCUGCUGAGAAACCAGCAUGGGCGGAGAAAGAGCAAUGGCACUGUCCAGAGUAGGAAUGGAAGAGUGACCUGCAGGGCAAUGUUAUCUACAA